rnacentral:misc_RNA from 1 species
CAACCCUCGUCCCCCGCCCAGGCGGGAGGGCGGUGUUGGGGAUGGGCCUGCCUCCGGGCCGGCCCGCCCCUAAAUACAGUGGCGACCACGCCGUAGCCUCCUCUGCGUAGUAGUAACUCACCUCGCGGGCGGAGAGCGGUGCGGUCCGCCGUAAAACCCCCAACUUUCUCAA